AGGGGUUGAGUAUAAAAUUAAUAUAUCAUUUUGCUAAAAUGAAGUUCUUAAUUGAGUUUAAGGAUCCCUG
rnacentral:tRNA from 1 species